CUGCGAAUAUUCUCGCUGUUCUGAUUUUUGUAAUGAUCAGAACAGGCUAAACAUUCGCUAACAUGUAAACAAAUCAGGGAAACUCUGUUACCAUCAGUGGCCGCGAAAUGUAUUGUAAAAUUACUGUUUAAAUAA